GACGAACGCUGGCGGCGUGCUUAACACAUGCAAGUCGAACGGAAAGGCCCUGCUUUUGUUGGGUGCUCGAGUGGCGAACGGGUGAGUAACACGUGAGUAACCUGCCCUUGACUUUGGGAUAACUUCAGGAAACUGGGGCUAAUACCUGAUAGGAGCUCCUGCUGCAUGGUGGGGGUUGGAAAGUUUCGGCGGUUGGGGAUGGACUCGCGGCUUAUCAGCUUGUGGGUGGGGUAGUGGCUUACCAAGGCUUUGACGGGUAGCCGGCAUGAGAGGGUGACCGGCCACCUUGGGACUGAGGUACGGAGCAGACUGCUACGGGAGGCAGCAGUGGGGAAUAUUGCACAGUGGGCGGAAGCCUGAUGCAGCGACGCCGCGUGCGGGAUGAAGGCCUUCGGGUUGUAAACCGCUUUCGCCUGUGACGAAGCGUGGGUGACGGUAAUGGGUAAAGAAGCACCGGCUAACUACGUG
rnacentral:rRNA from 1 species